UAGCUGCUGGCACAUGCACAUGCACGUAUGUGCGUGUGUGCGUGCAUGUGUGUGUGUGUGUGUGUGUGUGUGUGUGUGUGUGUGUGAAUGGAUAUGCUUUCCAAUAUGCUCACACACACACACACCAUUUUCAGAGCUUUCUUGGGGUAGCAUUAUGAGUUCACACUGGUGCUUGGAGACCAUCAGGAUGAGCAUCCUUCCUAAUAGGGUCUCCGAAGAGAGAGGAUAGAGGUAGCUUCUGUCUUGUUACUCCUAUCUGGGGAACGGACAGCCUGCUACUCUGAAGCAUUCUUUAGGGAUCUGUGAACAUAGCAAGUAGGUAUAUGAGUGUGUGUGUGUGUGUGUGUGUGUGUGUGUGUGUGUGACUCUUUCACUGGCCACUGAGCCCCAGGGCUCUGCCUAUCUCUGUCUCUGUCUCUCCAGUCCUGAGAGCUUGUGUAGCAAGCACCUUACUGAGGGAGCUCUCAUGGUUUUAUUAUUGGUCCGGUUGUUUUUGACUACCUGGAUCUAGAAGUAUCUAGUGAGGAGGGUGUGUGUGAGUGUAGAUUUGCUAGAUUUAAGAAGGCCCCCCUAAGUCCCCCAUAUUUGUGUGUACCAGAAACCAGAGAGGUAGUAAGAUGAGGUCACGUGGGAGUACACUCUGUUCUCAUGGAUUUGUGGUGGCUGCUGACAGGGGACACAUACCUAGAAACCGCUGAGGGGAAGGUUGAGUGCUGACGGUGGCAGACUAGAGCAGUUUUGAAAGCCUAGGGUGAACAGUUCUUUCUUGACCACAAGGAAGAAACUGGAGGCAGUGGGGGAUCCUCCCUGGAGUCACUGUGACAGAAAGCAAGGGCCUGGCAUCCUGGGGCAUUGCAAAGCCAACCCAAACAUAGACAACAUAGAGAAGAGGGAAGAAAGGUUUCCUGCCCACAACAGACAAGAAGUGCAUAGGAGUUGUUUGCAAAGCAAUGCUCUUCCCAAACAAGGGCAGUGUGGGGAUUUUACUCAAAGAGGCUCUGAAUAUCUAGGGCGUGGUUCUCAAUGCUGGCACCCUUUAAUACAGUCCUUCAGGUUUUGGGGACCCCGCAACCAUAAAGUUAGUCUUGUUGCUGCUUCAUAACUGAAAUUUAGUUACUGCUAGGAGUCGUUAGGUAAAUACGUUUUAAAAGCCCAGGGUGACGAAUCACCACAAGGGAGAAACUCAUGGAGCCAAAGAUGGAUCUUCCCCAAGUCACUGUAACAAUGCAAGGGACUGGCAUCCGGGGAUGACAAUGUUCCUAGGUAACCCUUGUGAAAAGGUUGUUUGGGGCACCCCAAAAGGGAUCUUGACCCAUGGGUUGAGAGCUGCUGAUCUAGGGACUGGCCCAUUCCUGAGCCUACUCACUACAUGGUUCAAGGUCAUCAUUUUAAAAGGAAAGGUAGUAGACGCAUUUUGGGGCAUGCUUAGCUCGAGGUCACGGUGCACUUGUUUUUAAAAGGUUAGAGGUGAAUGUUCGAGUGACUUCAGAAAGAUUUGGCUUGAAUUGUAUUAACCUUGGAGUUUGCCCAGGAGGGUGCCUGCUUCACAGUGAGCAUCUUCAGACAUGCUGGCACUUGAGUGCACACGGAAAAUUUCCACUGUUAAAAGCUCCUUCCCCCACCUCCACUCCCAGUCUGUGUCAGAAGGAUACACCAUACCCUUCCAUCCUGUCCUCUUUCUCUUUGAUUCAAUGGCGGUGUGUGUGUGUGUGUGUGUGUGUGUGUGUGUGUGUGUGUGUGUGUAUGUGUGUGUCUGAGAAGUGUGAAAGAAGUUCUCCUCACAGAUGGGUUCCAAAGCCACGGCCAGAGUUGCCAGAUUUCUCACACACAUAAAUAAAUACAGCUACCUGGCACAGGGUGCCCAGAGCCCAGAGGGAUAAACAGAGAAGGUACAACCUGAGACGUGCACCAGAGACCCACAGCCAGUAUCACGGGAAGCAUGUCUGCAGUUGGAUGGGAAUUCCCAGCAAGAAGGCCUGGUUCCCGGUGUGGGUCUUUUCCCAGAAACCCAUUGGCCUGUGCAGGGCAUACACUUGCCUCUGGUAGCCUCACUGGCCAAGUAUGAGCCGACAAGCUUUUCUUUAGGACUGAGAUCUCACGUUUCGGGCCCCAGCAAGGAUGGUAUCCAAAAGGAUCCUUUGGUGGUUGGAGAGAGACAGCUUAGAGUCUGCAGUCGACAUGGCUUCUAAUCAACCCAAAUGUGUGAGCAUCGUUCGUGUGUGUCUCAGAUUCUGUGAGGGAGAGAAUGACUUAUUUAGGAUGUAAGGAUGCUACGGAUGCUGAGGAGGGUCAUGGAGUAGCUUCGGACCUCGGAUGAGUUACCAGCCUGCCUGGUGGCAGACACAGCCUCACAGGAAGACUUGGGACACAUUGUUGUCUGGACUGAAGCUCAGGGAGGAUCAUCUUCGACCCGCACUACUGAGACCAGGACCCAGAGUCUCCCCUCAGCCACCACCUCGUCCUCCUUUUGUCUGGAGCUCAGUGUGUGUGUGUGUGUGUGUGUGUGUGUGUGUGUGUGUGUGUGUGUGUGCCUACCAAGUAUACAUGUGGUGUUCUGACCUCUGGCCAAGCAUCGCAGGGAGAGACCUUAACCCUGCUCCACAGAAAUUUGACUCUACACAGCAUGGAUCAACACAAGACCCGGACGAGUGGCCCCUAGGAGCCAUCUAGAAAGCAUGUAUCUUUCCAGGGUUCUGUUCAAAGACUUGACAAAAACCAACUAAAGUAAUCUUAUAGCAAUCUCAUGGAUCUGGGAAUCUCCACUGUGCAAGAGAGAAGUCCCAGAAUGCCAAGUCACACAUCCAAGAACUGGGGUCUGUCUCAGGGACACGGCUGCCUACGCUCUAUUCUCUGGAGCUCCCCAUCCAAAAUGCUCUCAGACUCUGGCACCCCAUUGGCUCUUCUCUCGCUUUCUGGUCUUUGUUAUUGAAGUGGUGGGUCAUAGGAAUGGUGUGAUGACACCAGGCUAUCCAGGGACAUCUCUGACUAAAAGGAGGAGUCCACCCAAUGACAGCAGAAGUGGGUGUUAUCUCA